rnacentral:rRNA from 1 species
UACGUAGGUGGCAAGCGUUGUCCGGAAUUAUUGGGCGUAAAGCGCGCGCAGGCGGUCCUUUAAGUCUGAUGUGAAAGCCCUCGGCUCAACCGAGGAGGGUCAUUGGAAACUGGAGGACUUGAGUGCAGAAGAGGAAAGUGGAAUUCCAAGUGUAGCGGUGAAGUGCGUAGAGAUUUGGAGGAACACCAGUGGCGAAGGCGACUUUCUGGUCUGUAACUGACGCUGAGGCGCGAAAGCGUGGGGAGCAAACGGG